AUGGACUUUUGGCUUUUAUUUUAUGAACAUUUCCGGAGUCUACUUCCUGUGUGGGUUGUUUGCUGCUGUGUUUGCCUGUCUCCAGAGGCUUCUCCCUUCCCCCGCCCUGCACUGAGGCUGAGUGCGCACACCUGUGACUCAUCGGCAAUCAACGGGCUGUUAAGACUGCCACCGUCUCUAGCCUCAGUGCCAGAGUAUUCGCUUCUGCACGCAGUGUGUCUCCCUCCGUGCCUCUCAGCAGCCCACAGCCCAGCACUCUCACCUGGUUUCCUCACUCUGCACCUCGACUCCGGAUCUCCUCAGUUCUCUGCACAAUUCUGACACAAUAAACCUGUUAACCCUCUUCCCUCUGUGUCUGCAUUUUGGGUCCUAUUCCUCACUGCCAUCACAGCUAGCCCCUGAUCAAGACUGCCCUGUAGAUUUUACAGGACAGUCUCGGAGUUAACAUCCAUAUGGGAGCAGAGCGACAGUAAAGGAACAACGUACUUCAACACAAAUGUUCAAAUGCAAAAAAUAAAGUCCUUACCUGAGUGC